UCGUUCCUACGGGACGCAGCAGUGAGGAAUAUUGGUCAAUGGACGAGAGUCUGAACCAGCCAAGUAGCGUGAAGGAUGACUGCCCUAUGGGUUGUAAACUUCUUUUAUAUAGGAAUGAAGUUUUCCACGUGUGGAAUUUUGUAUGUACCAUAUGAAUAAGGAUCGGCUAACUCCGUGCCAGCAGCCGCGGUAAUACGGAGGAUCCGAGCGUUAUCCGGAUUUAUUGGGUUUAAAGGGAGCGUAGAUGGUUUGUUAAGUCAGUUGUGAAAACUACGGGCUUAACUUGUAGACUGCAGUUGAAACUG
rnacentral:rRNA from 1 species